UCACCUGCUCUUUACAAUGAAGCUCUUGUUGUCUCUCUGUCUCAUCUGGGUCCUUGUCAACACAGCUGAAGCAAUUCACUGUCUGCUGUGCAAGGAUUAUCCUGAGUGCAGAGAGGUUUUCUCAUACAGCUGUUCCUCCGACAUGCUGUGUUCCACAAGGCACGUCAAAUUACAGGUAAUGGGAAUAUCCUCGCUGCACGUCGACAAGGUCUGUGUGUCAACCUCGAAGUGCAUAGUAGGAACUGCGAAUUAUUCAAUACACUUGGGUUCCAUGAGAGUAGUUGCAGCUGUUGAGUGCUGUGACGCA